rnacentral:rRNA from 1 species
UAGUACGGCGAGUGAGAGGGAAGAGCCCAAGAUUGAAAGCUGGCGUCUUCGGCGUCCGCAUUGUAAUCUCAAGAAGUGUUUUCCGCUUCGGACCAAGCCUAAGUCCCCUGGAAAGGGGCAUCAUAGAGGGUGAUAAUCCCGUACAUGGCUUGGAGCGCCCGAGGCUUUGUGAUACGCUUUCUAAGAGUCGAGUUGUUUGGGAAUGCAGCUCAAAAUGGGUGGUAAAUGCCAUCUAAGGCUAAAUAUUGGGGAGAGACCGAUAGCGAACAAGUACAGUGAUGGAAAGAUGAAAAGAACUUUGAAAAGAGAGUUAAACAGUACGUGAAAUUGCCAAAAGGGAAGGGUAGGAGGUCAGAGAUGCGGCCUGGGAUUCAGCCUUGCUUUUGCUUGGUGUUUUUCCCAGAUUGCAGGCCAACGUCGGUUUUGGGCACUGGAGAAGGGUAGGAGGAACGUGGCACCCCUCGGGGUGUGUUAUAGCCUCCUACUGGAUACAGCGACCGAGACCGAGGACAGCAGCGUGCUCGCAAGAGCGGGCCUUCGGGCACCUUUACGCUUAGGGCGUUGGCAUAAUGGCCCUCUACCACCCGUCUUGA